GGGGGUAUAACUCAAUUGGUAGAGUGUUUGCUUUGCAAGCAUAAAGUUAUCGGUUCAAAUCCGUUUGCUUCCA
rnacentral:tRNA from 1 species